rnacentral:rRNA from 1 species
AUACGUAGGGGCCAAACGUUGUCCGGAUUUAUUGGGCGUAAAGGGCUCGUAGGCGGUUCAACAAGUCGGUCGUGAAAACCCGGGGCUCAACCCCGGGACGCCGGUCGAAACUGUUGUGACUAGGGUCCGGUAGAGGUGAGUGGAAUUCUCGGUGUAGCGGUGGAAUGCGCAGAUAUCGAGAGGAACACCAGUAGCGAAGGCGGCUCACUGGGCCGGUACCGACGCUGAGGAGCGAAAGCAUGGGGAGCAAACAGGAUUAGAUACCCGAGUAGUCC